rnacentral:misc_RNA from 1 species
CUGAAAGUUGUGUGGUUUUUAGAGGUCACCAAAAAAAAUCUAUUUUGAGAUACUAAAAAUAUUUCGUUUUGCAUUUUGUUGUGCAGCCAUUUGUUACACAGGUUGAAGCUUAUAACUGAAAAUUGGAUUCAAAGAAUCGUAGAUGAAGAAAUCGAAGAGAUGACAUAUGGAGGUGAACUAUACAAAGGUUGUUGCAACGAUAACAUUCUCCUUAAUUCAGUUUUUGCAACUCGGUUACAAGCACUCAGUGGACUUUUGGCCAAGACAAUUUUUUUUUUUUUUUCUCUCUCUCUAAAAUGUUAUAGAUACGAAUCCUUUGUUGAAUA